CACGUAGGGUGCGAGCGUUGUCCGGAAUUAUUGGGCGUAAAGAGCUCGUAGGCGGUGUGUCGCGUCGGCCGUGAAAACCUACAGCUUAACUGUGGGCUUGCGGUCGAUACGGGCAUCACUGGAGUUCGGCAGGGGAGACUGGAAUUCCUGGUGUAGCGGUGAAAUGCGCAGAUAUCAGGAGGAACACCGGUGGCGAAGGCGGCAUCCUGGACCGACACUG
rnacentral:rRNA from 1 species